CAACUAAAUGGUGUCUGACAUGGAAGUGUGUAUGAAGCAGAGACUCUGACUCAGUCUUCCACUGGACAGCACGACUAGAAGGGAAAACACUGUGUCCAAAAUGAGAAAGUAUUGGAAUGGAAAAAAGUUUGAUGCAGGAAAAAUUGUAGCAGACUAUUUGGAUAUUAAGCAUACCAAUAGACAUUAAUCAUUCUGAGAAGCCUCAUGAGGAACCUCCACAUAUUCUCUCUACUUGUGCCAGGAAGAUGAGACCAGGACAAGAAUCAUCGAGUUCAACUCCUGGUACACAGGACCAUCAUACAUUCAAGCCAUCUUUCUGAAAGCAUUGUCCAAAUGUUUCC